GGGUUUUCUAGUUGGNNNNNNNNNNNNNNNNNNNNNNNNNNNNNNNNNNNNNNNNNNNNNNNNNNCCUCUGCCGAAAGCCGCUGCGGGGGCAGCCCCUCACCUCCCGCCACGGCCGGCUCUUCUGCUCCGAGACCUGCAGCCUGGGGUGGGAUUCGUCCUCCACCGCCUCCGACUCCUCCGACUCGGCUUUCGCCUCGGCUCCGUCCCCCGACUCGACGCCCCUCUCCCGCGCCGGCCCCGCUGGCAGGACCGCGCCGGGGACGGGCAGCACCUCGGCGGCCGGGGGCUGCUGGCAGAGGGUGGAAGGGGCAGAGGCUUUGCUGGAGCAGGGCCCUGUGCAUCCUGCGUUCAGGAGCCUGGAGGACUGCGGAGCAGCUGCCCAGGAGCGGAGCAGGGAUGCUGUGCACACAGGGAUGCUGGGACCACCAACCGGCCACCCCUCUGCCCCCCAGCCCAGCACAGAGGGGCUCAACGAGCCUGGAGCCUUGGGCCACCCAGUUUUGGGGGACCCUGACCUCCGAACACCUGCAGGCAAUGGAGACCCACACUGUCGAGCGGGGACAUCCCCUGCCCGCCACAGCCCGCGGCCGGAGGACAUCGACCUGCAGGACGUCACGGAGGAGGAUGACUCCUGGUGUCCCACCUGCUCUUCAUCUUCGGACUCGGACUCGGAGGAAGAGGGUUUCUUCUUCGGGAAGCCCAUCCCAAAGCCCGGGAUGAGCUCCCUGGGCAGGGAGCCCCUGGGGAGGGCUGGGGGCAGGACGGCAAAGCGGCGGGGCAGCAGCAAGCACUGCAGUGUGUCCUAGCAGCGGGGAUGGGGGGGGUGGGGGGUGUCCUCAACCAGCACCACCCUCCUGCCAGUCCCUGCCGGGUCCUGCCAGCCCCUGCCACAGUCUCAACACGUUCCACGCGGAUUUUGGACGCAGCCCAAGGCUGGUGGGAAGAAGCCGCUGGGAUCCUUCCCGCCCUCCGGCAGCUGCUGGCAAAGCACAGCCUGCAAUUCCUGCUGCAAUUCCUGCCGGCCUCUCCCGCAAUUAGGAACAGGUAAAGCAGGUAGGGAGCAGAGAGCCGGCAGCUCAAUCCCACCUCGGCCAAGGCGGCCGCCCCCGAGAGCUGCCGCACGCAGGGGUGGGCAGUUGGGUGCUUAAAACAAGGGCAGCUGCCUGCACUGUCCCGCUGCCGGGUCCCACGGGGACAGGAGGGUGCUGGCUGCCAGGGUGGGAUCCUUCUCUGCGACACGUUCCUGAAGGAUGAAGGUCACCACCAGCCACUCUUCAUCCCUGGUGGCACCGUGUCCUGCUGCCACUGCAAGGAGGGGAUGGGGGGGGCAGCUCUGCUGCUGCCGAUGACGAUGCUCCAAAUAAAAGUUUGGCUGAAAUCUGAACA
rnacentral:lncRNA from 1 species